GUAGGUGGCAAGCGUUGUCCGGAAUUAUUGGGCGUAAAGCGCGCGCAGGCGGUUCUUUAAGUCUGAUGUGAAAGCCCACGGCUCAACCGUGGAGGGUCAUUGGAAACUGGAGAACUUGAGUACAGAAGAGGAAAGCGGAAUUCCACGUGUAGCGGUGAAAUGCGUAGAGAUGUGGAGGAACACCAGUGGCGAAGGCGGCUUUCUGGUCUGUAACUGACGCUGAGGCGCGAAAGCGUGGGGAGCAAACAGGAUUAGAUACCCUGGUAGUCCACGCCGUAAACGAUGAGUGCUAAGUGUUAGGGGGUUUCCGCCCCCCUUAGCGCUGCAGCUAACGCAUUAAGCACUCCGCCUGGGAGUACGACCGCAAGGUUG
rnacentral:rRNA from 1 species